UAAUGUCUGGGAAACUGCCUGAUGGAGGGGGAUAACUACUGGAAACGGUAGCUAAUACCGCAUAACGUCGCAAGACCAAAGAGGGGGACCUUCGGGCCUCUUGCCAUCAGAUGUGCCCAGAUGGGAUUAGCUAGUAGGUGGGGUAAUGGCUCACCUAGGCGACGAUCCCUAGCUGGUCUGAGAGGAUGACCAGCCACACUGGAACUGAGACACGGUCCAGACUCCUACGGGAGGCAGCAGUGGGGAAUAUUGCACAAUGGGCGCAAGCCUGAUGCA
rnacentral:rRNA from 1 species